rnacentral:lncRNA from 1 species
GUUGUCAUCGUUGGGGCCGAUUUUGGGUUCUUCAUCUUUAUCGGGGCCAGUUUUGGGUUCGUCAUCUUCGUUGGGGUCAACGUUGGGUUCGUCAUCAUCAUCGUUGGGUCCAAUUUUGGGUUCUUCGUCUUCGUUGGGGUCAACGUUGGGUUCGUCAGCGUCGUUGGGUCCAAUUUUGGGUUCUUCAUCUUCGUUGGGGUCAACGUUGGGUUCGUCAUCAUCGUCGUUGGGUCCAAUUUUGGGUUCUUCGUCUUCGUUGGGGUCAACGUUGGGUUCUUCGUCUUCGUUGGGUCCAAUUUUGGGUGCUUCGUCUUCAUCGGGGCCGAUUUUGGGUUCUUCGUCUUCGUUGGGGUCAACGUUGGGUUCUGCACAAUCAUUGAGUCCAAUUUUGGGUUCGUGGUCGUCGUCGUUGGGUCCAAACUUGGGGUCCUCAUUGGGUUCUUCACAAUCAUUGAGUCCAAUCUUGGGUUCUUCGUCUUCGUUGGAUCCAACUUUGGGUUCUUCAUCUUCAUUGGGGCCAAUUUUGGGUUCUUCGUCUUCAUUGGAUCCAACGUUGGGUUCGUCGUCUUCGUUGGGUCCAGUUUUGGUUUCUUCGUCGUCGUUGGGUCCAACGUUGGGUUCUUCAUCUUCAAUGGAGCCAACGUUGGGUUCUUCGUCUUCAGUGAAGUCAACGGGGUCAACGAUGGAAUCAACGUUGGGUUCUUCGUCAUCGUUGGGUUCUUCAUCCUCGUUGGGUCCAACGUUGGGUUCUUCGUCUUCAAAGAGGUCAAUGGGGCCGACGUUGGGUUCUUCAUCAACGUCAAGGUCAACGGGGUCAACGUUGGGUCCAACAUUGGGUUCAACACCAUCGAUGGGGUCAACGUUGGGUUCUUCAUCCAACUUGGCCCCACCAUUGGGUUCCUCAUUGGGUUCUCCUUCAACGUUGGGUUCUUCAUCAACGUUGGGUUCAACGCCGCCGUUGGGUUCAACGUUGGGUCCAACAUUGGGUUCCUCUUCAGCCAUGGGUUCUUCUCCAACGUUGGGC